rnacentral:rRNA from 1 species
GACGAACGCUGGCGGCGUGCCUAAUACAUGCAAGUCGAACGCAGUGGGGACGGGUGAGUAACACGUGGGUAACCUACCAUGAGAGGGGAUAAGACUUGGAAAAAGGUGCUAAACCGAUACGGAUGAUGGACCCGCGGGGCAUUAGCUAGUGGGGGAGGUAACGGCUAACCAAGGCCACGAUGCAUAGCCGGCCUGAGAGGGGUAUCGGCCACACUGGUACUGAGACACGGCCCAGACUCCUACGGGAGGCAGCAGUGGGGAAUCUUCGGCAAUGGACGAAAGUCUGACCCAGCAACGCCGCGUGAGUGAAGAAGGUUUUCGGAUCGUAAAACUCUUUUGUUAGAGAAGCGGUAUCUAACCAGAAAGCCACGGCUAACUACGUGCCAGCAGCCGCGGUAAUAC